CUUUUGUAUUUGUUUCACUUUCGAAAUUGAAGUUUGAGUUGAAAUAAACUUUUCGAUGAAUUAGAGUUUAGAUUAAAAUUAUCUAUUUUUUAGCUAUUUAUUUUUAUAGUCGUGAAAUUAAAGUUUUUCUAAUUUUACUGUUUGUUUGACAUGAAGUAAAUAAUCUUAAAAUUGAAGGAACGAGAGAUGUGUUAAUAUUCUGCUCUUUUUUUCUUCACUUCUUUAUAUCA
rnacentral:lncRNA from 1 species